rnacentral:tRNA from 1 species
ACAUCAGUAGCACAGUGGUUAGCGCAGUCUGCCGGAAACACGCGGGUUCAAUUCCCGUCCGAUGUC